AACAGUUCUAAAAAGUUCAGCUCUUCAGAUGGCUUGUGAAUGGUAGAAAAGAACUUAGAUCAGAUCUUCACAUUUGAAAGGAGCAGACAAACAUCACUAGUAUGAUGGGACUGAAGCCCAAGAUUGGUAACGUGAUGGAUUUGCAGAAAGAACCAACAACUCCUACAGAUGAUCACAGUUCUCAUUUUAACACUAUCUGUGUUGUAACAAAGCCACUGGUUAAAUAAUGAGUCCAGAUAAAAAUGAUGUGAUAUCGUGAAGUCAUCUUCUUCAGAUACGUAUUUGGGCAAGCUUCCAAAGGAUUUCCUAAGGCCAAAUCUAAAAUAGCGAAGAGGAAAAUACAUAAAUUUAUCCUUUAAUAAUUGAUGCUAAAAACUAAUUUUCAAAAUAUUCCCAGGAAAGUCCUAUCUU